GAUGAACGCUGGCGGCGUGCUUAACACAUGCAAGUCGAACGAAGCACCUUAUUCUGAUCUCUUCGGAAUGAAAAAUUUGGUGACUGAGUGGCGGACGGGUGAGUAACGCGUGGGUAACCUGCCUCAUACAGGGGGAUAACAGUUAGAAAUGACUGCUAAUACCGCAUAAGACCACAGCACCGCAUGGUGCAGGGGUAAAAACUCCGGUGGUAUGAGAUGAACCCGCGUCUGAUUAGGUAGUUGGUGGGGUAACGGCCUACCAAGCCGACGAUCAGUAGCCGACCUGAGAGGGUGACCGGCCACAUUGGGACUGAGACACGGCCCAAACUCCUACGGGAGGCAGCAGUGGGGAAUAUUGCACAAUGGGGGAAACCCUGAUGCAGCGACGCCGCGUGAGCGAUGAAGUAUUUCGGUAUGUAAAGCUCUAUCAGCAGGGAAGAAAAUGACGGUACCUGACUAAGAAGCACCGGCUAAAUACGUGCCAGCAGCCGCCGUAA
rnacentral:rRNA from 1 species